UACGGAGGGUGCAAGCGUUAUACGGAAUCACUGGGUUUAAAGGGUGCGUAGGCGGCUUGGUAAGUCAGAGGUGAAAGCCCGCAGCUUAACUGCGGAACUGCCUUUGAUACUGCCGAGCUUGAAAGAGGUUGAGGUCAGCGGAACGUGACAUGUAGCGGUGAAAUGCAUAGAUAUGUCACAGAACACCAAUUGCGAAGGCAGCUGGCUGGGCCUACUUUGACGCUGAGGCACGAAAGCGCGGGGAGCGAACAGG
rnacentral:rRNA from 1 species